GCUCUGGUGAGUGGGGCUGGUGCUCCGUCAGGGCUUCAAACCCUGAAGGUGCCGAGAGGCACAGCUGUUCGAUUCGGCCUCUGGAGC
rnacentral:tRNA from 1 species